UACGAAGGGGGCUAGCGUUGUUCGGAAUUACUGGGCGUAAAGCGCACGUAGGCGGACUAUUAAGUCAGGGGUGAAAUCCCGGGGCUCAACCCCGGAACUGCCCUUUGAUACUGGUAGUCUCGAGUCCGGAAGAGGUGAGUGGAAUUCCGAGUGUAGAGGUGAAAUUCGUAGAUAUUCGGAGGAACACCAGUGGCGAAGGCGGCUCACUGGUCCGGUACUGACGCUGAGGUGCGAAAGCGUGGGGAGCAAACAGG
rnacentral:rRNA from 1 species